UGGUCCAGACUUUGAUUCUGGCUCAGGAUGAACGCUGGCGGCGUGCCUAAUACAUGCAAGUCGAACGAAACUUCUUUAUCACCGAGUGCUUGCACUCACCGAUAAAGAGUUGAGUGGCGAACGGGUGAGUAACACGUGGGCAACCUGCCCAAAAGAGGGGGAUAACACUUGGAGACAGGUGCUAAUACCGCAUAACCAUAGUUACCGCAUGGCAACUAUGUAAAAGGUGGCUAUGCUACCGCUUUUGGAUGGGCCCGCGGCGCAUUAGCUAGUUGGUGGGGUAAAGGCUUACCAAGGCAAUGAUGCGUAGCCGAACUGAGAGGUUGAUCGGCCACAUUGGGACUGAGACACGGCCCAAACUCCUACGGGAGGCAGCAGUAGGGAAUCUUCCACAAUGGGCGAAAGCCUGAUGGAGCAACGCCGCGUGGGUGAAGAAGGUCUUCGGAUCGUAAAACCCUGUUGUUAGAGAAGAAAGUGCGUGAGAGUAACUGUUCACGUUUCGACGGUAUCUAACCAGAAAGCCACGGCUAACUACGUGCCAGCAGCCGCGGUAAUACGUAGGUGGCAAGCGUUAUCCGGAUUUAUUGGGCGUAAAGGGAACGCAGGCGGUCUUUUAAGUCUGAUGUGAAAGCCUUCGGCUUAACCGGAGUAGUGCAUUGGAAACUGGGAGACUUGAGUGCAGAAGAGGAGAGUGGAACUCCAUGUGUAGCGGUGAAAUGCGUAGAUAUAUGGAAGAACACCAGUGGCGAAAGCGGCUCUCUGGUCUGUAACUGACGCUGAGGUUCGAAAGCGUGGGUAGCAAACAGGAUUAGAUACCCUGGUAGUCCACGCCGUAAACGAUGAAUGCUAAGUGUUGGAGGGUUUCCGCCCUUCAGUGCUGCAGCUAACGCAAUAAGCAUUCCGCCUGGGGAGUACGACCGCAAGGUUGCAACUCAAAGGAAUUGACGGA
rnacentral:rRNA from 1 species